rnacentral:rRNA from 1 species
UACGGGGGGGCAAGCGGUUGUUCGGAAUUACUGGGCGUAAAGGGCUCGUAGGUGGCCAACUAAGUCAGACGUGAAAUCCCUCAGCUUAACUGGGGAACUGCGUCUGAUACUGGAUGGCUUGAGUUUGGGAGAGGGAUGCGGAAUUCAGGUGUAGCGGUGAAAUGCGUAGAUAUCUGGAGGAACACCGGUGGCGAAGGCGGCAUCCUGGACCAACACUGACACUGAGGAGCGAAAAAGCCAGGGGAGCAA